rnacentral:tRNA from 1 species
GCGGACUGUAAAUCCGCUCCUUCGGGUUCGGGGGUUCGAAUCCCUCUCUUUCCA